UCUCCGUAGGUGAACCUGCGGAGGGAUCAUUACUGAGUGAGGGUUCAAAGCCCGACCUCCAACCCUUUGUGAACCAAACUUGUUGCUUCGGGGGCGACCCCGCCGUUUCGGCGACGAGGCGCCCCCGGAGGCCUUCAAACACUGCAUCAAUGCGUCAGAGUUUUUAUACAAAUAGAACAAAACUUUCAACAACGGAUCUCUUGGUUCUGGCAUCGAUGAAGAACGCAGC
rnacentral:misc_RNA from 1 species